rnacentral:rRNA from 1 species
UACGUAGGGUGCGAGCGUUAUUCGGAAUUACUGGGCGUAAAGCGUGCGCAGGCGGUGAUGUAAGUCAGAUGUGAAAUCCCCGGGCUCAACCUGGGAACUGCAUUUGUGACUGCAUGGCUGGAGUGCGGCAGAGGGGGAUGGAAUUCCGCGUGUAGCAGUGAAAUGCGUAGAUAUGCGGAGGAACACCGAUGGCGAAGGCAAUCCCCUGGGCCUGCACUGACGCUCAUGCACGAAAGCGUGGGGAGCAAACAGG